CGAAGGUAGAAAAGCCCCAGUCCUAGUGGGAAGAGGGUGCGGAGGCGCCGCCGCCACCGAGCGACGCAGUGCUGUCGGGACGCUCGACCGAAUGAUACGGCUUUCGCAAAGAGGUAUUUUUCGCUGGCCGCCAUAUCUCGCUCGGCAACCCGCUCGACACCGGCCGGAACCAGCCGGGAACAAUCGUCACUGGCGGAGAGAAAGAGAGAAAGAAAGGCGAGAGGAGGCACCGAAGGAGGAGGUAGUGGCAAAAUCCUGCGGUGGGAAGAAAGACGCCAAAGAAAGACAUCAGACCAUCGGCCGGGGAUAUUGUCCUGUCACAGCAGUACGCCUUUAAAGAGUUACUGGUGUGAUGGGACAUUGUCCUCGUCCUGGUGGUCCACUUCCGUUCGUCAUCGUCCUCGUCACCAUCAUUGCCGUUGUUGACGUCGUCGCUGUCGUCGCUGUCGUCGUCAUCGAUUCGUCGACAAUGCAGAAUGUGGAAAGUGUGUCCCGGUUGAGUCGGAUUGGUGUCGCGCGCUCGUUUACGGUUUCUCGCGGUCGGAGGGGAGGAUAGAGGGUGAAGGACCCAGUGGACCGACAUGGACGAGCGAUUUGACGGAUGUUGUCUGUUGUCCACGGUGACGACGGUGGAUUUCCGCGAGCCGCGAAAACGAGGAAACGCCCGGACGCGGACCUCGACCUCGCUGUGUCACUUUGAUUUUUCGAGAAACAGCACGGGACUGAGUCAUCGUGUUGGGCUUCGUGAACCACUUCAUCGUUGCCGAUACUCGCCAGCGUGGAUACGUCGCGGUAAAACGUAUUUCCAGUCGAUAAAGCAGCCUCCGAGAGGCGCGGCUACUCGCCACCGUGGUCGAUUCAAGGACUUCGUCCACGUCGCCUUCGAUCAUCGACAGUUCUCCCUCUGGCCUGUCAAAGCCGAGGAAUUGCAGACCGAGAUACAGUGAAAUCGUCCCUGUUUUUUUGUUCUCGUGAGAGCACCAGCCGAGCUGCCGACCACAAAGACUCGGACGAUGGACAGGCGGAACGCCUCCGUCGUUCCGUCGUCGGAAUGCAUCUACGUUGUGUCUAUAGCCCGCAAAAUGGCCGGAGCGCGUCCGUGGAUAUUCCUGCGCGUUAUCGUCGCGCAGUGACUUCUCGCCGGGAAAUUAGCGUCGCGUGUCAUCCGCGGUUCAUCCAAAUACGCAAAUCUCGCUGACGACCAGCUGUCCGCGGUUCUUGAACGUCCCAUACGUCAAUCAUGGGAUCAAUCACACCCGGUGCCAGGCCCGAUCGAAAGUCGGGGCAGCCGAAAGAAGGUCGCGCAUCGGUUGUAGCAUAGUUUCGGUGGAGGUCGGAUGUGUAUCCAGUCGCCCUCGUGCGAGAUCGAUACCCGAACAGACGGAGGAUUCACGAAGGACGAAUUUUUCUCGGUGGCUUGGUGCUCGUUCCGUGCUCGAACCACACAAAGCCGACCGAGGCGGGCGGGCUUCAAGAAUAACGAGACUCGGCAUUCACCGUAAUUCAGUUUGCAAAGUAUAUUGUGUGGAUAUACCGGGUUUUCGUAACGUUGGUGACAUAUGUUGUACACUUUGCUGCUUAAAUACGAUCGAAAGGCUGUGUUCGCUGCGUUCGUCGUGUGCCUACGUACCUUCUUCCAUUAAUUAAUUCCAUACCUGCAACGAUCGCGACGCGGCAAUUUACCGAGUUUAACGAAUCGGCCUUGUUUCCAUUUCCACCCACGACUUGGCACACGGACUAAAGCGACCUUAAGGAAGGGCGAUGAACAACGUGCUCGGUGGGAAGGUCAACCGCUGGUUUGAGGUCGAUUGUAGGCCUCCUCCGUCUCUUUCCCGUUCUCUCUCCUUCUCUUUCUAUUUUCUUUCUCCCUGUUCGACUAGUUCAACUUCAAUUUCAUUCAGCAAGUGCAACCAGUGAGUUGAUUUUUCCUUCGUUUUAGAUUCAUUUGUCCGCAAUGCGUUUCACCUGCUUCAAGUAGCGUUACGCGUAAGAAAAAUCCGAGGAUCUCAUCAGACACUGUAAACAAUGAGCCUUGGUACAGGUUUCUGGUGGAACCGAAGCGACAAAGCUACCUUUCCGUUCGGUGUAUACCACCAUUUUAUGUGGCUUAUGUUCUUUCCUUCGUCCUGCUAAAAAAAUUCACCUACUAAUUCCGUCGCACACCGGAAGAAUGAUAUUGGUGACUGUUUGGUCCACGGUCCAAUAAAAUCCUCCGAUGGUCCAAAAAGCUUCUCUUAACCGAAUAAGGCCGCGUAUCGAUUACAUUUCCAUCGGAUUUAGAUUCGGCUGAUAGGAAAACGUUCUUGAAUUAUGAAAAAGCCACGAAAAUAUCGCCUCCCUCGGUAUACUCGUCCCACUCGAUCGUAUGGAAGUUCAGAGGAAGAGUUCCAGAGUGCGAUCCACUCGACGAAACUUCAUCCAAGAUCAAAGGAGAAGCUGCUCGUGGACUCGAAAGUUUUCGACGAGAGUGUUGACGAGCAAUCUUCUUCCGAAGUCAUCAAUCUUGCUUCGUUUAAUCGUAAUAUCGUUUCUCCUUCAACACUCGCAUACGCCGCGAUAAUUCGAAAGCUGAAUUGUUCGAUGCUCAUCUUUUAUUCAAUAGUACCCUCAAAGUGUAACACGUUCGUUGCCGUAAACCGCGACUGUACUCAUGUGUAUGUAAAAAUCGGACAAGUGUCGAAGAGAGGAGGAGGAGAUAACGUGAGAAAAUCGAAACAGUGUGUACGAUAUAACCAUCGCUAAAAUCGGAUUUUCAUGCCAGAAAGAGAAAGGGUGGUGGCACUCCCGGAAACGAGGAUUUGUCCUCGCGGCCAAGCCCUCGGUUUCGCCCUCGUACGAGCGAGUGCGUAUCACGUGAAACGACUGAGUGUGCCUGCGUUAUUCCCCGUGGCUUCAUUAGCUAUCGCAUUAAAUCGGGCGAGGUAUAUUAGCGGAAUGACUCGAAGAGAGUAGCAGCAGCACGUCGUGACGCUCCGCUCCGUUCUACUCUGCUCCGCUCCGCUUCGCUCCGCGCCGCGCCGGUGGAGUUGGAUCUCACGCAGUUGGUAGUGGUGACGAAUUGGUGGUCGUGUGCUGGUUGAUGCAAGUGGAGGGACGGGAAAACCGAACGGACGGAGAGCCGGUGGGUGUCGUCGGGGUGGGUUUGUCGUACAACCCGUCCCGACUCACGGGACGGGGGUGAUUCAGGGCACAGUCGCCAGACGGCGGCACUGUCCCUGAACAUCCAAGGAGAGGAAGAACGCGUUCCCCGCGUGGAGCCAGGAAGCGGAUCGCUGCGCUCGAAGAGGAUACGAUCUCCGCGGGAUGAUCUGCGGAAGUUUCCUCCAUGACGGAACGAAGUACGCCGGGAGGAGAGAGAGAAAGAGAGAGAGAUGGUGGAAGAUCGAUGCGGAGGAAAAGCCGGGACCGGUGCUGCCCAUCGCGGGAGACGCAGAGGAACGCGCCGGAAAAAGAAAGACGAGGGCGAGAAGGGGAAAUGCCUCGCGCCAUGUUUAAACCCCCCUGAUAACGAUCACCGAACGCAAACCGGCUAUCCAUCUGGACAAUCGCUACAGAUUAAUGAGACACGAGCCGAUGCUGGACGCCAACGGCAAUGAGACCAAGGAGAUUGGAAAAAACGAUUAAUCGACGUGUCGAUAAGGCAUCGAGGAAAUCUCGCUUUCUAAAAAUGGCAAAUAAAUGACAUUUAAGCUACGAAACUAUCAUUUCGUUCUGCGCACAUCGAAUAUUAUUUGCAGAAGACGUAAAUCGAACGGAGUACCACGUGAGUCGUCUCUUUGGCUACCGCCGAGUUUGUUUAUGAAUCGAUCCAUCCCUACCCUUCGCCGCACCGUACCCCCUCGCGGAAGAUGCGAUGCAAAAAUACUGCAUACCACUUUCAGGAUGCGACAUUUCAGCGACCGUUUGCGUUUAAUCGGAUGAAACGUGUUUUGCGAAUAACUACACGAAUAAUACCGUGCGCGUACAAUGCGCAGGAUUCACGUUAAUAUUUAAACUGGCAUAUUUGGCAUACGACGCAGCGCAAAAUGUAAUUUUCGUCUUGUAUCUGGCAGCUCCGCUGGUACACGCGCACAUGCGUACACAUACCUGCGUACUGCGUUCCUAGCAUGUUACGUACAUUUAAAUGAACACGCAAAUCUCGACGCAAUUCUCGUUAAAAAGCGAAAAGUGAUCUCAAUUAAAAUUCACCGGUUUAUCAUCUGUAAGACGAUUCCACGCGUUAUCAUUUUAUCUCGCUGUUACGAUGCAAUCUACCUCGUCCGAUAUUCCCAACAUACAACGUUAGAGAAACCGCUGAUGUAUACGUUAUACACACCCUCGUCCCUAAUGGUUCCGUUAUACACAUCCUCCUCCCCAAUGGUUCCGUACGCGAUACGCAGCCUUAUGGGUCGCCUAAAAGGGCCCGAAAGGACAGGGGAAGGCGCGAAAGCUUCGACCGAGUCGAAUUGGAUCGGUAACCGCCACGUGGUACAGAGGGUUCCGCGUCGGGCCAGAUGGUGGUGCAGGUCCAGUCGGAACCGGCUACCCCUCGUCGUGCUCUAUAACACGGUGGCCACGAGACAGCUGUUGAUCGCGCGGUACGUCGCCGCGAGAAUUACCGGCCGGCGAAAUCGGUUCACGGACGGGUCUCGCGUCUUGGGAAACGCGAUCCGAUCAUCGGCCUCGUAAUCCUCCUCGCCAUCGUCGUCGUCUAACGUGCGAUCGCGAUCAGUUCGGCACCGAUUCGAUAAACAAUCCUUCGUAAUUUUCGAUUACCACCGAUACGUAUACGUACAAGCUCGCAAAGCCCGGAGGAAGAGAGGACGCCCGGGUGUCGGCGCCAUCGCGCGGUUUUCGCAUCAUCAUCGGCGACCGAGCACACCGGCGCAACUUCGACACAAAGAGCCCAUUCAACGACGUACAACGAUCCUCUCUGGCGACUGCCGGCCGCCUGCCUGCCUGCCUGCCUGUCUGCUUGCCUGCUUGGUUGGUUGGUUGGUUGCUUGUCUGCUUGCCUGCUGCACAACAUCGGCCUUCGGCAGAUGCGGCGCGAUGCACUCGGCUCGGAAUGCAUUUCCACGGAACUCGUCGCGUCGCUUUUUCUCCCGAAGUCGAAUCUUCAAGGCGGAGACCGAGACGGUCGGCGUUUACUCGAUAAUGUAUCUGUUGAUUCGAUAACGAGCUUGCGAGAGAUGCGUGAUCUUUAAUCCGGUUGCGACGCGCGAAAAUGUUCUUUGGAAUUAUCGACUAAUGAGAAAAACGCGCCGUUAUCGUAAUUGUAUGUCGCUCGGAUUUGUCUGCAUUUUAAUAAAUACGGAAUAAUAUAAACGACUGCUUAAAUUCUUUCGACAUUUAAGAUCCUUCAUAUUCCUAAUUUUUAAUCCUAUGUGAAUAGCGCUUCUCUUAAACAAAAUAAUUGCAACGUAUUCAUUCGUAAAACAUUCCUUAGAAAACAUAGAAGCGAAAGCGAAGAAGAAACGAGAGACUCGAAUGAAAAAGGAGCGUCCGCGAGUGAGAAAGUAGUCGAUCUGACUAUACAAAUUACGGACCGGUAUGUGAAACUCAUUUGUGUUAGGUCUUAAGAAACAAUCUUGCAAUUGUAUUAUAUUAUGCAACUUGCAUUUCGUGCAGAAAACGAUACGGUGAUACUCGGAAAGCGCGUCUCAUAACGUAUCGCGUGAUUUCGCAUAUAAUGAGCAAUUUCAACUGUUUGUUUCAAUAAUUUGAUCAAUUGUGAUUUGUUCAAGUAUAUUAUCGUUAAUAUGAUACAUCGUCGAUCAAUAAGCGACACACAGGAUAUGAAAACACAACCCUGUUUCCGCUUAAUACGGUACGACCAACUCGAUUUACAGCGAUUUCCUGCAUAAUCGUCGCGAUAUCGCUCGAUAGACACGAUUAGCCACUUUCCGAGGCAACCGUAUGUUCCUGCACCGGAAGAUACCGCGCCAGCUGGUAAACGAAACAGAUACGCCGCUCGUGCACGAUAUCGAGAUCGGUAGAUUUUCGUUAAGUUCCAGAAACAUUCGUGGAUUUUAUGAAAUUAUUUUUUUCAAUAAAGGCAUAUCAAAAGCAUAAUAUUCUUUGGACCUUUUUCGCACAGAAACUCUAAUUAUAAUUAUUAUUAUUAAUUAAUUUAGAAUAUUCUGCGCAAAAAAUUAUUAAUUAAUUUAGUUAACCAAAUUAUUAAAAUCUUUCAAGAAUGCUUAAUAAAAUAAAUUUAACAAAGAAUAGCAGAAAUUAUCUAAAAGAGCCAAAAAUGUCUUAUAUAUGCAAAAUAAAAUAUAAUUUCUUUCUGUAAAAUAAGCGCAUAAAUUCCGAUGUAAUAAAAAUUAAUUAAAACAUUAGAUUUAGAUAUUCGAAAGUACUGCAUUGUCUGGCUUCGUGAUUUAUGCGAGUGCGUACGAUUCAUAUCGCGUCGCAAUGACUGUAUCAUUACGCUCGGAACGACAAACGAGAGAACGGCUGGCGCAACGCGCCUCGGUAGGGCGAUAAAUCUAUUUCGCAUUCGUCAUCUUUAAAUAAAAUGCAUCUCGUGCCAGAGAGCGCGUAUAGAAAGAAGUUUUGCACGUAUCCCCAACGCGGUGAGAGAGCAGCUGUUCCCGCACACCUGGCAGAGAUUUCGGAGCCCCUGGGACCAUGGGUCGUCGGCUGCUCGAAAUGUAGCUCCGGUAUCCAGCGCGAAAUUCUAUAUGUACCCCGUUGGCUUUCAACAGCGGAUAUCGCUAUCGCGCGCGCGAAUUUUAUCAAUCUACGUUAUUAACGAACUUUCCAACGUUGUUCCAACGUUGCUCGAAAGUUGUAAUGUAAUAUUCUCACGUUUGUAAUGGUAAUCAACUCGGUUCAUGUGACUCGCCUACGCACAUUCGCAACGUCGUGUAAUUUUACAUUUUUCCCAUCUUCUUAAUGAAGAAAGUUGUACAGAUUACAAACGAGAUACAUAUGUUAAUCCCUGCAUACGCGAAAUUCGCGUCGCGUUGGCUUUCUGAGAGGCAAUCUCGGACAGAUCGCUACGACGACGAUUGACAACGAUCGGCUGUUUCGCACAGCGAAAACUGCAACGAAGAACGCGGAAUUAUUAAUACGGCGUAAUGUAAAUAAUACGUCGAUUAAUCUGCGGCAAUUGAGAGUACUUCAUAAACGAUAAUCUGGGUAGCCUCGUUUCGGUGUGAUCGCGCGGACUUAAUCCACGUCGAAGUGAAUAAUUCGCCGUAAUUGGCCCCCGCGCCGCGUAUCGAUGACGAAUCGGAUUAGCCGUUAAUUACGAGAGUAUAAUUGACGAAGUCCGAUCGCGAUCGGAUGACUCGCGGAUGUUCCUUGACGACAAUGGCGACAGCAUUACGGAGGGAUAUCUCUGCAUCCCCCUUCUUCCUCCCUUUCCUCCGUGGUACCAACAAAAUCGAGAUCGUCGGCGCCGACCGCCCGCGGCAAAGAAACUUCUGAAUAGUCGUUGCGUCGUCCGCGUUAGAGGGAGUGAGGCAAAAUCGUAUUGUUCCAGGUAUCGGUUCUUGAGAAACGGGACAAAGGGAGGGACAGAGAGAGGAAGAAAGGAGGAGGACGAGAAGAUGCGCUAAAUAAACGAGAAAUCGGCCGAGCGAGGACCAUCGCUCGGAGAAUCGGACGGGGAGACGCGAAAAGAGAUGAAAAGGAGAAAAGAGAGUCGAAAGAGAGAGAGUAAAGAGAGAGAAAGGAAAGGGAGAAAGGAGAGGCAACGAGACAGAGGCCGAUAUUCGCUCGCUCGCUCGUUCACUCGCGUCGGACAAAGAGGCAAAACAAGGAGCAAAAAUCGAGCGAGGUGAAGGAAUGCUCGACCUUGGUGCCUCAUUCGCGAGGACUGCGGCACCUCUCCUCAAUGAGCGACCAAAUGAAAUCAAGAGAAGGGCAGCGCGAGCCGAGUCGUUGCAGCGAGUCUUAUUGGUGAGUCACUCGUCCUCGCGCAUUUCGCUAAGGAUCGUCGAGGAUCGAUCGCGCUUUAUUUCAGUUCUCCGUUCGAGUAAACUUUUCUCUUUGUCGGCAUUUCGGUUAACUUUAUAAAAAGCGCCGGUGAAUUAUUAAAUUCGGUUUAUCCGAUCCUCGGGAUUGGCAUGAUAAAUUCGCUUAAGCUUCCCGGUAAAGCCUAUCGCUUUACGAGCCCAUUAAAAAGGGAAUAUUAAUUAAAAUCGUUCAAAUGAUCGUUGUAAUCGCUGACGGUGCAAUUCUGACGAGUCCAGGUACUAAAAACACACGGUACAAUGAACGCCGGUUUGCGCUGCCGUUGCAGAAUAUCGUGCGCUUCGCAAGCGCGGCAACGAUCGCAAACGACAUGCAAAGAGCGACAAAAUAUAGGAUGUAACUCGACGCGCGCGUACGUGUGCGCAUGUAUGCGCGCGAUCGGUGCACGUGUCGCUUUUAAACGGUACGCAACGCUCCAUGCUCCACGAACUAAUCUCCCGCGAGUGGAGGUGUGGAAAAAACAAAUUCGCCGGGCUCAUAAAUCAUUCGACAUAUCAUGCGGACGAUACGGGCGAAACGCUACGCGGAGGCCUCUUCACCCAGUUUGUUCCCAGUUGAAAUGGCACAUUUUGCGGACGGGGUAAACGCAUCUCGCGUCAAAGCGGAAUGGAGAAAGAAACCGCGAUCAAAAACUGGUUCCCAACGGUAGCCUGGCUCUUCUCAAACGGUACCAACACCGCCAUUCUCACUUUAUCUUUACACGCGGUUUGGCGCUGCGAAUCAGAGACACGAUUCCAGCAAACGCGUUGCUAUUUGUGACUUUUUGCACUAAUUGCCAUUAGUGAUCUCAAGAGCGUAAUUUAGAGAGAUAAAAGGGAAAGAGAGAUCGUCAGUGCGUCAACCGAUGUUGCCGAGAGACGUCAUAGAAGUUUGAUUGCGACGUUUGUAUGUACAAGAGAAAAUAUUAAAUAUUUAAAUUAAUAACUACUCUUUGUUAUUGAAUUAUAUUUUUUAAUGAUUUGCAUCGUUAAUUCGGAUUAAAGUUCGAUCACCCAAGUGUCUCGGAAUGUGAAAGAACGUUAAUAGCAGAAGCC